UAGUAGAGACGGGGUUUCACCGUGGUCUCGAUCUUCUGACCUUGUGAUCCGCCUGCCUCAGCCUCCCAGAGUGCUAGGAUUACAAGCGUGAGCCACCGCGCCCAGCCUCCUCUGGGCAAACAUUAAGAACGGCUCUAAGUAGCUACGAGAAUGAUGGGAAACAGUAACGUGGUUCAUGGAACUAUGAAGGGAGAUCCUGUAAUCUUCAGCAAAGGCUCCUUGGAGCUGGGAAGGAAUGAAAUUUGCACCACUGGAAACCCUACAGUAUUUCCAGCCCAAGAAUAAGGAGGGAGAAGCUGAGCUGAGGUAAACUCUACAGAAGUUUACAGAACUAUAGAAGCUCUACAGGAGUCAUGGCACAAACUAGAGACCUCACUGCAAAGAGGAAGUAGUUUAUCCAAAGAUGUGCAAGGAAAUAAAGACAUGUUAUGAGGGCUAAAUCAGGCAGCCUGGUCCCAGAAUCCUGCUUCUAAAGAGAAGUCCAAGCUGGGGAAGACUAAGGUGAGUUCUGAAGAGUGAGUAGGGGAUAGCCAAACAGAAGGGGUAGAAGUGGGGAAGGGUUUUUUCCUUGGCCUGGGGGCCCAGCCUAGGCCAACAAUUCUGUUCUCCCAGCCCUAACACCUUUUCCCGUGGGGUUAGAAAGUCCCCUCCCAACACUCCACCUGAGUGUUCUGGAAG